rnacentral:rRNA from 1 species
GACGAACGCUGGCGGCGUGCCUAACACAUGCAAGUCGAACGGAAAGGCCCUGCUUUUGUGCGGACUGGGAGUGGCGACCGGGGGAGUAUCACGUGAGUACCCUGUCCCUGAGUUUGGGUUAACCUAAUGAAACAGGGGCUCUUAUCGGGCAGGAGCUCUUGCCGCAUGGUGGGGGCUGGUAAGAUUCGCCGGUUGGUGUUGGACGUGCGGCACCUCAGCUUGUUGGUGGGGUGGUGGAUUACCAAGGCUUCGACGGGUUGCCGGCCUGGGAGGGUGACCGGCCACAUAGGAACUGGGAUGCGGCCCGGACUCCAACGGGAGGCAGCGGUGGGGAAUAGUGCACGAUGGGCGGAGGCAGGGUGCAACAACGCCGCGUGGGGGAUGACGGCCUGCGGUUAGGAAAGCGCUUUCGCCUGUGACGAAGCGUGAGUGACGGUAAUGGGUAAAGAAGCACCGGCUAACUACGUG